rnacentral:rRNA from 1 species
CCUACGGGUGGCUGCAGUGGGGAAUAUUGGGCAAUGGGCGCAAGCCUGACCCAGCAACGCCGCGUGAAGGAAGAAGGCUUUCGGGUUGUAAACUUCUUUUGUCAGGGAAGAGUAGAAGACGGUACCUGACGAAUAAGCCACGGCUAACUACGUGCCAGCAGCCGCGGUAAUACGUAGGUGGCAAGCGUUGUCCGGAUUUACUGGGUGUCAAGGGCUUGUAGCCGGGUUGACAAGUCAGAUGUGAAAUCCUGGGGCUUAACCGCAGAACUGCAUUUGAAACUGUUGAUCUUGAGUACUGGAGCGGCAGAUGGAAUGCCUAGUGUAGCGGUGAAAUGCGUAGAGAUUAGGAGGAACACCAGUGGCGAAGGCGGUCUGCUGGACAGCAACUGACGGUGAGGCGCGAAAGCGUGGGGAGCAAACAGGAUUAGAUACCCCAGUAGUC